rnacentral:rRNA from 1 species
CCUACGGGUGGCAGCAGUGAGGAAUAUUGGUCAAUGGGCGGAAGCCUGAACCAGCCAAGUAGCGUGCAGGAUGACGGCCCUACGGGUUGUAAACUGCUUUUAUACGGGAAUAACGCGCCUUACGUGUAGGGCUUUGCAUGUACCGUAUGAAUAAGGACCGGCUAAUUCCGUGCCAGCAGCCGCGGUAAUACGGAAGGUCCGGGCGUUAUCCGGAUUUAUUGGGUUUAAAGGGAGCGUAGGCCGCAUGUCAAGCGUGCUGUGAAAGGUCCGGGCUGAACCCGGGCCUUGCAGUGAGAACUGGCGUGCUUGAGUGCGCGGAAGGCAGGCGGAAUU